rnacentral:rRNA from 1 species
GACGAGGAGCUUGCUCCUCUGACGUUAGCGGCGGACGGGUGAGUAACACGUGGAUAACCUACCUAUAAGACUGGGAUAACUUCGGGAAACCGGAGCUAAUACCGGAUAAUAUAUUGAACCGCAUGGUUCAAUAGUGAAAGACGGUUUUGCUGUCACUUAUAGAUGGAUCCGCGCCGCAUUAGCUAGUUGGUAAGGUAACGGCUUACCAAGGCAACGAUGCGUAGCCGACCUGAGAGGGUGAUCGGCCACACUGGAACUGAGACACGGUCCAGACUCCUACGGGAGGCAGCAGUAGGGAAUCUUCCGCAAUGGGCGAAAGCCUGACGGAGCAACGCCGCGUGAGUGAUGAAGGUCUUCGGAUCGUAAAACUCUGUUAUUAGGGAAGAACAAAUGUGUAAGUAACUAUGCACGUCUUGACGGUACCUAAUCAGAAAGCCACGGCUAACUACGUGCCAGCAGCCGCGGUAAUACGUAGGUGGCAAGCGUUAUCCGGAAUUAUUGGGCGUAAAGCGCGCGUAGGCGGUUUUUUAAGUCUGAUGUGAAAGCCCACGGCUCAACCGUGGAGGGUCAUUGGAAACUGGAAAACUUGAGUGCAGAAGAGGAAAGUGGAAUUCCAUGUGUAGCGGUGAAAUGCGCAGAGAUAUGGAGGAACACCAGUGGCGAAGGCGACUUUCUGGUCUGUAACUGACGCUGAUGUGCGAAAGCGUGGGGAUCAAACAGGAUUAGAUACCCUGGUAGUCCACGCCGUAAACGAUGAGUGCUAAGUGUUAGGGGGUUUCCGCCCCUUAGUGCUGCAGCUAACGCAUUAAGCACUCCGCCUGGGGAGUACGACCGCAAGGUUGAAACUCAAAGGAAUUGACGGGGACCCGCACAAGCGGUGGAGCAUGUGGUUUAAUUCGAAGCAACGCGAAGAACCUUACCAAAUCUUGACAUCCUCUGACCCCUCUAGAGAUAGAGUUUUCCCCUUCGGGGGACAGAGUGACAGGUGGUGCAUGGUUGUCGUCAGCUCGUGUCGUGAGAUGUUGGGUUAAGUCCCGCAACGAGCGCAACCCUUAAGCUUAGUUGCCAUCAUUAAGUUGGGCACUCUAAGUUGACUGCCGGUGACAAACCGGAGGAAAGGUGGGGAUGACGUCAAAUCAUCAUGCCCCUUAUGAUUUGGGCUACACACGUGCUACAAUGGACAAUACAAAGGGUAGCGAAACCGCGAGGUCAGCAAAUCCCAUA